rnacentral:rRNA from 1 species
CCUUGACAUACUAAGAACUUCCAGAGAUGGAUUGGUGCCUUCGGGAACUUAGAUACAGGUGCUGCAUGGCUGUCGUCAGCUCGUGUCGUGAGAUGUUGGGUUAAGUCCCGCAACGAGCGCAACCCUUUUCCUUAUUUGCCAGCGGGUCAUGCCGGGAACUUUAAGGAUACUGCCAGUGACAAACUGGAGGAAGGCGGGGACGACGUCAAGUCAUCAUGGCCCUUACGGCCAGGGCUACACACGUGCUACAAUGGUCGGUACAAAGGGUUGCUACCUCGCGAGAGGAUGCUAAUCUCAAAAAGCCGAUCGUAGUCCGGAUCGCAGUCUGCAACUCGACUGCGUGAAGUCGGAAUCGCUAGUAAUCGCGGAUCAGAAUGCCGCGGUGAAUACGUUCCCGGGCCUUGUACACACCGCCCGUCACACCAUGGGAGUUUGUUGCACCAGAAGUAGGUAGUCUAACCGCAAGGAGGACGCUUACCACGGUGUGGCCGAUGACUGGGGUGAAGUCGUAACAAGGUAGGCGUAGAUGA